rnacentral:tRNA from 1 species
GCCUGGGUGGCUCAGUUGGUUAAGCAUCUGACUUCAACUCAGGUCAUGAUCUCAUGGUUUGUGAGUUCGAGCCCCAUGUUGGGCU